AAUGUGAAUUGCAGAAUUCAGUGAAUCAUCGAAUCUUUGAACGCACAUUGCGCCCGCCAGUAUUCUGGCGGGCAUGCCUGUUCGAGCGUCAUUUCAACCCUCAAGCCCAGCUUGGUGUUGGGACUCGCGAGUCAAAUCGCGUUCCCCAAAUUGAUUGGCGGUCACGUCGAGCUUCCAUAGCGUAGUAGUAAAACCCUCGUUACUGGUAAUCGUCGCGGCCACGCCGUUAAACCCCAACUUCUGAAUGUUGACCUCGGAUCAGGUGGGAAUACCCGCUGAACUUAAGCAUAUCAAUAAGCGGAGGAAAAGAAACCAACAGGGAUUGCCCUAGUAACGGCGAGUGAAGCGGCAACAGCUCAAAUUUGAAAUCUGGCUCUCGGGCCCGAGUUGUAAUUUGUAGAGGAUACUUUUGAUGCGGUGCCUUCCGAGUUCCCUGGAACGGGACGCCAUAGAGGGUGAGAGCCCCGUCUGGUUGGAUGCCAAAUCUCUGUAAAGUUCCCUCGACGAGUCGAGUAGUUUGGGAAUGCUGCUCUAAAUGGGAGGUAUAUGUCUUCUAAAGCUAAAUACCGGCCAGAGACCGAUAGCGCACAAGUAGAGUGAUCGAAAGAUGAAAAGCACUUUGAAAAGAGAGUUAAAAAGUACGUGAAAUUGUUGAAAGGGAAGCGUUUAUGACCAGACUUGGGCUUGGUUAAUCAUCUGGGGUUCUCCCCAGUGCACUUUUCCAGUCCAGGCCAGCAUCAGUUUUCGCCGGGGGAUAAGACUUCGGGAAUGUGGUCUCUUCGGGGA
rnacentral:rRNA from 1 species